GUGAUUUAUUGGCAACUAUCUGUCAUACUAUCCAAUAUUAUUUUUUAAUUUGUAAUAUAGUUCAGUAGACUAGGGUAGUGAUUUAAAGGCAAGUCCUCUUUCUUGGAAUCAUGGCUCCCUGCUCACUGACCAUCUGAGCAAGAAUGAUGUCCUGAGGUUCCUAAAUUUCUUCUUUCUUCCUCUGUAGAAUGGUGACAAUAAUAGCUCCUACAUCUCCUGUGGUUGUUUUGUAGCCCCAUGAGAUAAUGCCUUCCAGUGCAGAUCACAACUCCCUUCACACUGGUUCUGUUAAAUGGCUCUGCAAAUAGUUCUAAUAUAUAGCCAUGAUUGAGAACCUCUAGCAUAAUGCAAAGGCAAAGAAGUUAGAACAAAAUAGACUGUUAGGGAUGCUUAGGUGUUGGGAAGAAUGUGUAACAGAGGGAGGAGAAACUGAAAGUCAUUAUAGUAUGUAUUGUAUAUAUAUUGUGUAAUAACAGGGUGAAAUGUUGGUAUUUCAUCUUAUUAAGCAUAACAGAAACCGAAAUUUUAUAGUUUGAAGAUGCAGCCUGACAUGAGGAAGUUAGUACAUCAGGAAUUGUGGGGGACAGUCUUGAUUGGAAGGAAGAGAUGGAGUUCAGAAAUAGUAUGGGAUCAGGAGCACUGUGGAAAUUGCAAAGAAAGGAUGAGUGUGAGGUGAAGCACAAAGGAAGAGUUGGUAGGAUUUAAGACCUUAGUGGACAUAAGAGCUUAGGGAGAUUGAGGGAAGAAAAAUAAAGUUAAGCUUUUAAUCUAGGAAGACUAAAGAAAUAGCUGCUAUGUUGGUUAAGAUUAUAUUUAACUGUGAGUAUCAGACCAAUCAACAGUGGCCUAAACAAAACAGAAGAUUUUAUCUUCACCAGUUAAAAGUCCAAAAGUGGACAAUUCAAAGCCAGUAAGGCAAUUCUGCUCCACAAAGUCCUUGGAGAUCCAGACUCCUGCUAUCCCUUCCCAUGGUGCCAGAGAGCAUUUCUUGGGUUCCAGCAUCCACAUGGAGAAGAACUGGUAAAAUGCAAGAGCCAGGGUCAUUGGAGGGAGAUUUCUUUAGCCAUUCAUCAUGUUCAUGUACAUUCCUUUGUUCAUAAAUUUGUCUCAUGGCUAUACCUAGUUGCAAUAGAAUCUAAGAAGUAUGGUCUUUAUUUUCUAAGUAAGCUUAUAUCCAGAUAAAAAUUCUAUAGUCAAAGUAGAUUGUUUCUAUACAAGAAGAGGAAUUCAGAUACUAGAGAAGAGCUAAGUCUGCACAGUUACCUCUUUUUUUUAAAUAGUGAACUUGAAUCAUAGGGUUCAUUUGGGAAAAUAUUUUUAAUAUGUUGAAUUGGAAAUAUGUGGCAUAAUUUGUUAUGGUUAGUUGUCCCCCAAGAGCCUCCCGUGCUCAUAGGCAGGGCUUUUGGAAGAGGAGUGGACCAUGAGGGCCCAUAGCUGACUGACUGUUAGGAGGUGGAGCCUGGUCAGAAGAGGUGGGUCACUGUGGGAGGUGUAGCCUAGAAGGGUGCAUCUCCCUCCCUGGUUCUUUCCUUCUUUCUCUGCUUCCUGCCUGCCAUGACAUGAGCAGCUUUCCUCCAAGGGCCCUUCCCUAUGCUCUUUCUGGCUUGAACCCAGCUGAAUAUGGACUGAAACUUCUACAAACUGUGAGCCAAAAUAAACUUUUCCUCCUUUAAGUUGUGGAUGUCAGAUAUUGUGUCUCAGCAAUGAGAAAAGUGAUUAAGACAGAAUUUUUAAAUGAUCCCAUGAUUCCUGGCUCCUGUUGUAUACACCUUUCUAAUGCCUACCACGAAUGAGGCCAGGGAAUAUGAUGGGAGCUUUCAAGGAGACAUUAAGAAUGGUGUGGUAAGGAUGAAAGUCAAAUGCAAGAAGUGAACAAGGAAAUGACCAAUGGAAAGAAAAGAAGCAGCUGUCAACCUGGAAAAGUCAGCAUAGCACACAAAAUCCUCCAUGAGCUAGCCACAGUCUCCCUCUCCAGAACUUUCUUCUGCCAAUCUCUUCCUCUCAUAUCUUAUUUCAAUUUUACCAACUGCUCCACACCUGCUGGUCUUGCCUCUGUGCCACCCGGAAUGUGUUUCACUUGUUCCCUUUGGUGUAAUUAACUCCUGCACAACUUCCCAAGCUCAGUUCAAACAUUGUCUUAGACGUAAUCUUCUCUAAACCUCAAGGGCAGUCAGGUGUCACUCUGUGAUGCUCUGUUGAUGCUCCAAGCCUCCCUCCAUUCCUGAAUUUGUCAUAUUUUUAGAAUUUUACAGUUCAGUAUGAGUUUGUCUCCUUUGUGAGCUCCUGGAAGCUAAGCACAGUCUUUGUAGCCACAGAAUGUAGCACAACUCCUGAUGCAGUGAACUCUCAAAUAUGCAGGCAGCAGAUUUAAAAAGAUCUCUCAAGAGCUGGUAUCAAGGGAACGUAGGACAAGGGGCAUUUAUUCUAGGACUGGUAGACAGAAUGAGAGGACAAAUAAGGAAGGAGAUACUUUAAAUGAGGACUCCUUGUAAUCAGGUUCCACUUAUCACAUCCCAGUAAGAUGUUUAUUGGCAUUUUUAAUAAUCAAGAUCUAGUGAAUGUUAGUUUAGAGUUUAGAAAUAUAAUCUUGUUAAUAAGACAGGAUGAGGAGGUAAUGGUGAGACAAGGUUUUUUACUUCCAAAGCAAAAAGAAUCUGAACUGACAAGAGAAAAACAAACAAAAACAAAGGCAACAAUAAAGUUGGCAUUCAAUCCAUAAAUUAACUACAAAUCUCAACUGGAAUAGAGGGCUAUCAAAUUCUGAAUGGAACCUCAGUGCUCCUUUUCUCCUGGGCACCCCUCCCCAGUUCAAUUCAAUUUAGUUUAACAAGUAUUGAUUGGUCACCUAAUGUGUUCUUAGAGUACUCUCCACUGCAGGAGACCAGGCAUUGAGGAUGCAGCUAUGAAGAGGACAAACAUAGGCUCCAUGCUCACAGAUGAAGUAUGAUGAAUUAACCAGGUACAGUAGUUGCAAGUUCAAGGAAAGUGGUUGUAGGAGACUCCUUUGUUCUCUUGGAUCACAUUCUUUAAACCCAUCUCUGAUUUCAGCUACAGAUUUUGGAGGCAGUGCUGGACAAGCCCAAAUCUGUCACUUGCUGACAACAUCCUCCUUGAAGCUUAUGCACUGCCAAGUUUUCAUUUCUGCCUCUCUAGUUCUGUGGGAGCCCUCUUGGAAAUGUGAAGGAGAGGGAGUUCUGGAAGAGAUAGUCCCUACUAACCUGAAAACUUUCUACAAAACUGUGAGCCAUAUUCUUCACCCUUCCUCCUACCCCAUAUUCCUCACCCUUCCUCCUAUCCUGUCUCUCCCCACUCCUGUGCUUCUGAUUUGCAUGAUCACAUCCCCAUUACAUGACCUGUACAAAGUCUAUGGCUCAUUAGGGGACCUAACUAAAUACAGUGAAAUUUCAAGGAGCUAUGAGAAGAUGUAAUAAGGAGAUUUAACCUGGUUGGAUUUCCUAAGGUCUCCUUAAAAAGAUCUUAUAAAGUGAUGUCUAAGAUGACACUUAAAGAACAGAUAGCAGUUCUCCCAGAUAAAGAGGUAAAGGAUGGAUGUGCACAGAACCUGACAUGUGCAAGGCCCAAAGUCUACCCUGGGCAUGAUAUCUUUGAAGAGCUUAAAGAAGACCACAGAGACUGUUGCAAAAGUGAAAUGAGGUGAGACUUGAGUGCUGAGCAGGGUGUCUUGGAGAACCUUGCAGUCAUGGUAAGGAUUUUGGAUUUCAUCCUAAGGCAAUGGGUAAUAACUGAAGGCUUUAAGUAUCCUUGAAACAUAUUUAUAUUUUUUUAAAAGAUUGUGUUGGCUACAUUAUAAAGAGUGAGAGGAUCAGGGGAGAUGUGAAGACCACUCAAAUAGUUCAGAGGCUAAGAAGUAAUCCAGGGGAGCAUAGCUAAACCUCAUGGCAGAGGGGAUGGGGAGGGCUGAGGUGUUAAGAGGCAGCACAAGAGCCCGGGUGUUUGGUUAGAUGUGGUGAUGAGGGAGGAGAACAAGACAAGGAUGAGGCUCAGGCUUCUGAUUCUAAAAAGUAGAAUAGGAACAGAUAAAUACUGAUGGCUCAAGGAUCAUUUUCCUCUUUUUUGUUAACAGUUGGCAGGCUUGGUAGGUCUGAGUCAGCUCAAGGGAAGACAGGCUCAGCACAGUGCUGAGCUCAGAGCAGCCCCUUUCUAGCAUGACCACUUCCUUGCAUGGCACAGGGUUGCUCCAUUGUCCCUGCACCCUCCCACUGUCUCUAUAAAUAGGGAUCGCAGUCCCUCCUGACCAAAGGGUUCCAGCCUCAUCUUUAGAUGUCUCCAUCAAUAUCUGUGAAACAGAGUCUAGAAAAAAAGACUAAAAAAGCUAUCUUUAUUUAGCCUGGAGAAGCGAGGGAGGGAGAGCUGUGAUAUUGCUAGGAAUAAACUACUGCUUUUAUCUUUUCCUCCUAAGGAGGACAGAGGAGGUGGACUUAGGAUCCAGUUACAGAAUUGAUUCUCAGUCCAGAAGGGAGGGGGAUCUCCCAACCCUAACUCCGAGGACAUUCUGCAAUGUCAGGAGUGAGCACCCGACUGCUGAUGUGAGACUGUCCAAAAGUCCCUUCCUGGCACUGCCACCAGUAACAUUCAAGAUGUCAGCUGUCCCCUUGUUCUGGAUCCCUGAGUGGCCACCAUUCUUGGUACCUCUGGCAACCCCUGAUGGAGAUGUAAUGUAGGUGAAAUAAACCUGUGUUGUUUUCAGAGAAAGAGAGAGAGUACUUGGUCACUACCUUUCACAUACUCAUAUGCUCAGCCUUACUGUCUAUGACAUUGCAGUCUGCUAUGUUUGUUAGCUGAAUUUGUUUCCUGUAAUUUAGAAAAACAAAUGAGUUGAAGCAUUUCAUAUUUGAACCAAUCACUGAACUUAAAUGUUGAUAUGACUGAUCUUGUUUUUACAGGUUGGGGUCUUGAUAGUAGAAUAAGGGGCCUCUUCACCUGCUGAGAGGGAAGUACUUCUUCUGCAAGCUGUUUAAGUACCACCCAUCUCUUUAUUCCUUGUGGAAUGCUCUAAAGGCUGACAACAGCUUUGGAAAAGCAAUUCACAGUGGUUAAUAACAGCAGUGAGUGAAAGAGGAGAGUAAAACCCUAAGAGGAGUUGACAGGAAUUUUCUCAAUUAGGAGACAGGAGCUUAAAUGGACACAGCUUCUGAACCUCCUUUAUUCAUUGGCAAAUAUUCAUUAAGCACUUACUAUGUGUUCUGCCCAGAUGGAGCUUAUGUUGAUGGGGAGUGGGGGGGGGGGUCACAGGCAAUACGCAACUAAACUAAAGUGCAAUAAAGGAAGUAAUGAGGAACGAGAUGGAAUAAAGGAGGGGAGAAGAGGCAGACAGGGAAGCCUCUCUGAAGCGACGGCCCUUGAGCUGCAAACUUUGUCUGCAGAGAGCCAGUGAGCACCGCUUUAGGCUUUGUAGGCCACACAAUCUCUGCUGCAAACUUGCAGCUUAUGAAACAGUCAAUACAUAAGCAAAUGAGUGUGGCUGAAUUUCAAUAAAACUCCACUUAUGGGCAAUAAAAUCUGAAUCUCAUAAUAUUUUGUGUCACAAACUAUUAUUCUCCUGAAUUUUCCCCACCAUUUAAUAACGUAAAAAUCAUCUUUAGCUCAUGUGAACUAUAUGAAAUCAGGCAGCAGCCACAAGUUAGCCUGCAACCAAACCCCUGAUGUAGGUUCCCAAUUCAAAUAACUCAGAUCAAUACAUCAUUUAAGAGGCAUUUGCAAAGUAAUCCAUCAGGAAGCAGUGAAGGCUUGAUGUGAUGCUUGCAGUGGCGGGAGGGAAGGGAAGGAUUCCAGGUGUUUGGGGCUGGGCCCAGCUAUGCCUAUGUACAUGACAUGGAAGUAAACAGGAGAGGAGCCAGGAGGACUCCAUGGUGGUGCCAUUUGUUGCAGGGGAACAGCUAGGAGGUGAGGUCCGGAGGGAACAGUGGGUUUCUACAUGCAUCCUAAUGUAUUAGCUAGACUUGAUUUGGAGCUAGAAAACAGGACAUCUCCACACCUGGAUUUUUCCAAAGCCUGUUGCUUCUAUGCUGUGUGACCUUAGGCAAGUCAUUUAUGUUCAAUCCUUCUUCUUGUGUCAGUAACGGAGAGAAUAUUUUCUCCUCUCUCCGUUCUAUAUGGUGGUGAGAAGCAAGUGAGCCUUCACUGGCACCUGGUGAGGCUUUCCUUCCAGUCUCAGCCCCUCACCACCCCAUCUCCCCAUCUGCCCCAAACCCAAGUCCAGGUGAAUUUCUGGGUGAAUCUUUACAUUUGGUGGGGGAGUGGUCACAUCACUCAUUCACUGCAUAGCAAAACUGUCUGCAAAUCCCUGUUAAGCUUCUCUUCUUUUUAUGAAGUCCUCUCUGCUGCAGCUAACUUCAACCUUUCAUGCCUCAACCUUCCAGGGCCUUGCCACUUUUUCUUUUUUCUUUUCCCUCUCCUAUGGUCACCCUUUCCUUACUCUCUCACAUUGCAUAGUCAAAAACCCCUCAAAAGAAUCACACUCGUAGUUUAAGUAAAACUGGGGAACUAGAAUAAGAUUGAUAUAUUGUAUCAAUGCCACCUGCCUGGUUGUAAUAUUGUAACUAUAUCCUUAAAAGAUGUUACCAUUGAGGAGAAAAGGGCAAAGAGCACAAGUAAUCUCUCCCUACUGUUUCUUUAAAAUGCAUGUGAAUCUAUAGUGGUCUCAAAAUAAAAACAAAAUAGAACACAAAAACAAAAACCAAAGUACCAUGACUUAUAAGCCUCACUCAACAAGUCUGAAGCUAGCUAGGACUUGGGACCAGAAUUCCCUCAACAGGUGCAUUAAACUAUUUUCUCUACUUUUAUCUAUGUCUGAAAUUUUUAUUAAAUGAAAGUUAACAAAUAUACCCCUCGCUAGUCAAACAAAUCACCCAUUUUUCAAACUUGAGGGACUUUAAUUUACCCCACUAUAGAAACAAGAAAAUUAGUUUUGAAGUGCACCCAAGUGAAGAACUGUGUUCUGUGACCCCAGCAUGUACCAAGCACAACCUUGCACCAGACUCCAUGAUUAAAAGCCCGGAGAUUCAGGCGACUCCAAGCCUUGAUCUGUUUGACAGGCACUCCAAUCUUCGCCUUCACCUUGAACAUCAUCUCCUGGCUUCCAGCACAGACUCUUAGCCUUCCAGUGUGGAUCCUUCAGCCUUCCAGAGUAGACUCUUCAGCCUUCCAUCACAGACCCAUUUGCCUCCUGACACAGACUCGAAAGGGACACUGCAGUGAUCUCCAGACCUUCGGCUGAAUCCUUUGGUCUUCAGUGUGCAGACAGACCCUCUGGGCUCUUCCUCAUCUGGCUCUGUGAGUGGCCAAUGCAUAGAAUUCCUGGGACUUCCUCUUCUGCAAGCAGCAGCCUACAUACGCUGACAAAUCUUGUUGCCACAUUUGUGUCUAUCCUGUGGGAAACACAGAUUCUCUUGCAUAGCUGAGAUUGCAGGAAGUAAGUGAAAUCUCUAAGGGACCAAGCGAGUUGAAACUACUGAAGGGAUAAUCAUACAGAAGAGACAAGUUUGCCCUGAAUGCCAAUGUCUAUACACACAAUGCAGCAAGUUCAAUUUUGCAAGACCAAAUGUUGGGCUAACAACAAGGAGAAGCUAAACCAAGACUCCUACAAUAAGCUGGCACCCAGUAAGAUGGCUAGUGAUUAAUGUGGUGCAUAACUUGACACCCAGAAAAAGCAAAUAUAAACCUCCUCUGAAUUAAGGCCCAGAAUCUCCCACAGAUUGAUAUCUAUCUAUGUGAAUGCAUAAUCAACAGUCACCAAAGACACAAAUAACAGACUUCCAGAGCAAGAGCCAAGAGAAACAACCAAUAACAGCAUUAGGUCUACAAGAAUAUCAGAUAUUGGAAAAAUCAGCAAUGUGACAAUUCAGCUUAAUUGUGUCAACUUGAUUGGUUUGUGAGCUGCCCAAAGGAUUAAUAAAGUACAUUUCUAGCUGUGUCUGAGUAGGUCAUGGAGGUGUGAUCUGGUCCCUCGCUCCUUCCUCUCUGGCACUGUUCCCCUCCUCUGCUUCCCCACCACCACAAACAAAGCAUCUUUACU